rnacentral:rRNA from 1 species
UACCUGGUUGAUCCUGCCAGUAGUCAUAUGCUUGUCUCAAAKAUUAAGMCAUGCAUGUGUAAGUAUGAACAAAUUCAGACUGUG